rnacentral:rRNA from 1 species
GACGAACGCUGGCGGCGUGCCUAAUACAUGCAAGUAGAACGCAGUUGCGAACGGGUGAGUAACGCGUAGGUAACUGCCUCAUAGCGGGGGGAAACUAUUGGAAACGAUAGCCAAUACCGCAUACUGUGAGAUGGACCGGCGUUGUAUUAGCUAGUUGGUGAGGUAAAGGCUCACCAAGGCGACGAUACAUAGCCGAGCUGAGAGGGUGAUCGGCCAAACUUGGACUUGGGACCGGCCCAGACUCCUACGGGAGGCAGCAGUAGGGAAUCAUCGGCAAAUGACGGAAGGCUGACCGAGCAACUGCGCGUUGGUGAAGAAGGGUUUCGGGGCGUAAAGCUCUGUUGUGAGAGGAGCGGUACCUAACCAGAAAGGAACGGCUAACUACGUGCCAGCAGCCGCGGUAAUAC